UUGCUUUCUCUGCUUGUCUUCCUUUUCACUUUGAUUGUAAAGAAAUAACAUUCUUUAUUCACAUAUUUAUGUGUUUUAUUUUACUAUAUGAUUUGAACUAUUGUGCAAACAUUAUGUACUACCCCAGUGUGCUAGUGAUGUUGCACAAGCAUAUAUUACUUAAACCAGUCUUGUAGCAUCAUUGUAAUUAAAAUUUUUACUGUCUUUUUAUUCUUUUCAUGUUUG